GACGAACGCUGGCGGCGUGCUUAACACAUGCAAGUCGAACGGAAAGGCCCUGCUUUUGUGGGGUGCUCGAGUGGCGAACGGGUGAGUAACACGUGAGUAACCUGCCCUUGACUUUGGGAUAACUUCAGGAAACUGGGGCUCAUACCGGAUAGGAGCUCCUGCUGCAUGGUGGGGGUUGGAAAGUUUCGGCGGUUGGGGAUGGACUCGCGGCUUAUCAGCUUGUUGGUGGGGUAGUGGCUUACCAAGGCUUUGACGGGUAGCCGGCCUGAGAGGGUGACCGGCCACAUUGGGACUGAGAUACGGCCCAGACUCCUCCGGGAGGCAGCAGUGGGGAAUAUUGCACAAUGGGCGGAAGCCUGAUGCAGCAACGCCGCGUGCGGGAUGACGGCCUUCGGGUUGUAAACCGCUUUCGCCUGUGACGAAGCGUGAGUGACGGUAAUGGGUAAAGAAGCACCGGCUAACUACGUG
rnacentral:rRNA from 1 species